UACGUAGGGGGCUAGCGUUGUCCGGAAUCAUUGGGCGUAAGAGCGUGUAGGCGGCCCGGUAAGUCCGCUGUGAAAGUCGGGGGCUCAACCCUCGAAUGCCGGUGGAUACUGUCGGGCUAGAGUGCGGAAGAGGCGAGUGGAAUUCCUGGUGUAGCGGUGAAAUGCGCAGAUAUCAGGAGGAACACCAAUUGCGAAGGCAGCUCGCUGGGACGUAACUGACGCUGAGACGCGAAAGCGUGGGGAGCAAACAGG
rnacentral:rRNA from 1 species